rnacentral:rRNA from 1 species
GACGAACGCUGGCGGCGUGCCUAAUACAUGCAAGUUGAGCGCUGAAGGCUGGUACUUGUGCCAACUGGAUGAGCAGCGAACGGGUGAGUAACGCGUGGGGAAUCUGCCUUUGAGCGGGGGACAACAUUUGGAAACGAAUGCUAAUACCGCAUAAAAACUUUAAACACAAGUUUUAAGUUUGAAAGAUGCAAUUGCAUCACUCAAAGAUGAUCUCGCGUUGUAUUAGCUAGUUGGUGAGGUAAAGGCUCACCAAGGCGAUGAUACAUAGCCGACCUGAGAGGGUGAUAGGCGACAUUGGGAGUGGGACACGGCCCAAACGCCUACGGGAGGCAGCAGUAGGGAAUCGUCGGCAAUGGACGAGAGUCUGACCGAGCAACGCCGCGUGAGAGAAGAAGGUGUUCGGAUCGUAAAACUCUGUUGGUAGAGAAGAACGUUGGUGGGAGAGGAAAGCUCAUCAAGUGACGGUAACUACCCAGAAAGGGACGGCUAACUACGUG